rnacentral:rRNA from 1 species
UACGAAGGGGGCUAGCGUUGUUCGGAAUUACUGGGCGUAAAGCGCGCGCAGGCGGUUCUUCAAGUCAGAGGUGAAAGCCCAGAGCUCAACUCUGGAAUGGCCUUUGAGACUAGAGAACUAGGGUACGGGAGAGGUGAGUGGAAUUCCGAGUGUAGAGGUGAAAUUCGUAGAUAUUCGGAAGAACACCAGUGGCGAAGGCGGCUCACUGGCCCGUUACCGACGCUCAGGCGCGACAGCGUGGGUAGCAAACAGG